UGUGUUCUAACAAGCGGUCAUGAAGUUAUGUUAUUUUUGCUCUGCUGGAUUUAUUUUUGGCGUUUCAUGCCUUGAAGGGUUUUCUAUGAAGCUUUUCAAGGUAAACUAAAAUAUUUACAAUUAAUUAGUAUGUCACAUAUGCACUUAUUAAAUAAGCCAAUAUUGACUGUAAGCAAGUGCGAGAACGGGUUGGUACACUAUGGCAUUUGUGUAUCAGUUUUUUCGCCGCAUGUCCUUACUAGGAUUUCGCACCAGAGUCGUACCACAUUUUGGUAACCGAUCAUUCGUACGAGAAUUUGGCGCCAAAUGUUCGCAGUAGAUUUUGACGUGUAACACAAUAGACUUCGUGAAAUAUUUUGGCGCCAGCCUCAGUGUGUUCUGGAACACAACCGCUUGAAUUUUAAACUCUUAACACGUGCAGGUAAAGGACCUUGGACAAGCCGCCGGCUUCCUGUCAUCUUCGAGGCCGCCACUAGUGUUGGUGGUUCUCAGGUAAUUUUUUUGAUACCAGCUUACAUAUAUGACUUGGCAGAGCGACUCUGAAAAUAACAUAAUGUCUUUAGUAUUCCUUAAGGUGACGCCUGCCUCUAGUGCCUCUCAUGUACACUAAGGUGACGCCUGCCUCUAGUGCCUCUCAUGUACACUAAGGUGACGCCUGCCUCUAGUGCCUCUCAUGUACACUAAGGUGACGCCUGCCUCUAGUGCCUCUCAUGUACACUAAGGUGACGCCUGCCUCUAGUGCCUCUCAUGUACACUAAGGUGACGCCUGCCUCUAGUGCCUCUCAUGUACACUAAGGUGACGCCUGCCUCUAGUGCCUCUCAUGUACACUAAGGUGACGCCUGCCUCUUGUGCCUCUCAUGUACACUAAGGUGACGCCUGCCUCUUGUGCCUCUCAUGUACACUAAAGUGACGCCUGCCUCUAGUGCCUCUCAUGUACACUAAGGUGACGCCUGCCUCUAGUGCCUCUCAUGUACACUAAGGUGACGCCUGCCUCUAGUGCCUCUCAUGUACACUAAGGUGACGCCUGCCUCUAGUGCCUCUCAUGUACACUAAGGUGACGCCUGCCUCUAGUGCCUCUCAUGUACACUAAGGUGACGCCUGCCUCUUGUGCCUCUCAUGUACACUAAGGUGACGCCUGCCUCUAGUGCCUCUCAUGUACACUAAGGUGACGCCUGCCUCUAGUGCCUCUCAUGUACACUAAGGUGACGCCUGCCUCUAGUGCCUCUCAUGUACACUAAGGUGACGCCUGCCUCUUGUGCCUCUCAUGUACACUAAGGUGACGCCUGCCUCUUGUGCCUCUCAUGUACACUAAGGUGACGCCUGCCUCUAGUGCCUCUCAUGUACACUAAGGUGACGCCUGCCUCUAGUGCCUCUCAUGUACACUAAGGUGACGCCUGCCUCUAGUGCCUCUCAUGUACACUAAGGUGACGCCUGCCUCUAGUGCCUCUCUUGUAGUGUUAUCCACAGUUUGGUCAAAAUAAUGGUUUGUGAUGAGGGAUUUGCAAACUUUUAUGUCAUAA